GAGCUGUGAUGAGCAUUAAAAUCUGUCAAUCCCCUGAGCAGAGUGAUGUCGCCUAGUCUCUGAGCAC
rnacentral:snoRNA from 1 species